GUACCGUGGGUGAAUGAAGAGGUCGAGACUUUGUCUUUGGUGGCGGACCAAAGAAUACAGAGAGAGCUGGACGGAGAAAGUUUAUCAGGAGGUCUCUGAGCGGAUGGCCGCUCACAUAUACAGUAGACUGUAUAUAAAGAGGACAGAAGCAGUGUAGGGAGAAGCUGAAAAAGCUCAAAAGUGACCAUCGGUCCACCCAGGACCACAACGGCCGGCGUGGGUCAACCAGGAGGUGUUGGAAGAGGUUUCAUGAACGCUAUUUACUGGCACCGCACCGCCAGCAACAGGAGGGAGACUCAGCCGCUGCAUUGUUGGAGACGUUCGAGGACGAAUCCCUUUCCACAUGCGAAGCCUACUCCACCUCCGUCGCGGAGCCCCCGGCUGCCCUGCCUCCUCUCCACCACCAGCAGCGGCUCCUCUCCAGCACCAGCUCGGACACCGACACCAGCACGUCACAGCAACGUCUUAUCACCGGCAAGAGGAAAGGGGGCCACAGAAAAUUGGACCUUCCUAGCAUACUUGUGGAGAUGCAGGCUGAGGAGGAGUGGAGUCAUGCCCAGCAUGAUGAGAACAUCUGGUUGCUCCUCAGCGAGGCAAGAGAGAAUGAAGCGGCCUUGCAGUGGGAGGAGAUGGCCCAGAAUACUGCCUUCAACCAGUCAUUCCUGGGUGUGCUGGGGCAGCUGGGGUAGCUGGGUAGGCAGUGGGCAGCCGGCGAGUGUGAGCGAGUCCACCUCCCAUAGACUUGAGAUUUACAAGUGCUGG
ensembl:lncRNA